ensembl:lncRNA
CACAGCGUCCUAUUGUCGUGUAUCAAAACCGUCAUCCAAGCAUAUCCAAGGAGAGGCUUUUACCUAUCAGCAGUAUCUCUGUAGCCUGGUCCUACCAGACUCUCGUGCUUCAUUUCAUUUGCACAGAGAGUCUGAUACCUACUCAAUAGUGGCGGACUCACGCCUCUUCCGGUAGAGCCCAUGGGACCUAUGGGCUCUGGAAGUAAUUAUUUUCUGGUGCCAGUCUUUAUAGGCACUGGAUUACACAUACGUUGUUUGUGGAUUUAAAUCAUAAUUUUUCGUGCAUAGAAAACGCGAAGAAGUUUGAUAGUGUUAGGUUUUGUGUGAGGCCGUUUUGUGAACUACAGCCCCUUGCUGCUCUCGCCGAGAAUGAUAUACGUCACCACCACUCUGGUACAGGCAUGGCGAUCUCUGCUCCACUUUUUUCCAAGGGGAGGAUAACAGCAUCGAAAGAGGGUAUCCAUGGCUGUUUGUGUCCAGGCCCGUGGUCAUGUUGAUCCGUCCUUGAUCCCGUGAGACGUGCUGGCCGUGUGGGCAUGAGUCCUGAGGCAUAGGCCUGCGUGAAGGUCAGCCAGGUUGAAGGUUCGGAUGGAAGUGAAGGUAUGCAGGAACCAGCUGUGUACGCCAAGGUCAACAACGCAUCGAGAGGGGAGGUAGCUUAGAAAUAAGGCUGAACAAAAAGAGCAGACAAAUGCAGAAGAAUUGAGGAAACCUAGCCACGGGUACUCCAUGAAGCACGUCUACUCCUGCUCAGUGAAUAGAGGAAACUGAACUUAGAAAAAUCAGAAUCCGAAAACGUAGAAAGAACUUCUUUCUGAAACACUCUACAAAA